rnacentral:misc_RNA from 1 species
GAUGAAGAACGUAGCGAAAUGCGAUAAGUAAUGUGAAUUGCAGAAUUCCGUGAAUCAUCGAAUCUUUGAACGCACAUUGCGCCCCCUGGCAUUCCGGGGGGCAUGCCUGUCCGAGCGUCAUUUCUGCCCUCCAGCCCGGCUGGGUGUUGGGCGCUGUCCCCCCGGGGACACGCCCCAAAGGCAGUGGCGGCGCCGCGUCGGGUCCUCGAGCGUAAGGGGCUUUGUCACCCGCUCGGGACGGACUCGUCGGCGCUGGUCUUCCUCCAGGCGACCCUUCGGGGCUCGUCUUCCUUCGGUUGACCUCGGAUCAGGUAGGGUUACCCGCUGAACUUAAGCAUAUCAAUAAGCGGAGGA